CAAUAGCGUAUAUUAAUGUUGUUGCAGUUAAAAAGCUCGUAGUUGGAUUUCUGGUGGAAGCGACCGGUCCGCCCCUCACGGGGUGUGCACUAGCGUCUGUCUUUUGCCAUCCUUGCGAAGAAGCGGUGUGGCAUUAAGUUGUCGCGCCGUCUGACUCGCAUCGUUUACUGUGAAAAAAUUAGAGUGUUUAAAGCAGGCAAUUGCUGUGAAUACAUUAGCAUGGAAUAAUAAGAUAGGACUUUGGUACUAUUUUGUUGGUUUGCGCACCAAAGUAAUGAUUAAUAGGGACAGUUGGGGGUAUUCGUAUUCCGUUGUCAGAGGUGAAAUUCUUGGAUUUACGGAAGACGAACUACUGCGAAAGCAUUUACCAAGGAUGUUUUCAUUAA
rnacentral:rRNA from 1 species